rnacentral:rRNA from 1 species
UACGGGGGGGGCGAGCGUUGUUCGGAAUUACUGGGCGUAAAGGGUUUGUAGGUGGCCUGCUAAGUCAGACGUGAAAUCCCUCAGCUUAACUGGGGAACUGCGUCUGAUACUGGCGGGCUUGAGGACAGGAGAGGAACGCGGAAUUCCAGGUGUAGCGGUGAAAUGCGUAGAUAUCUGGAGGAACAUCGGUGGCGAAGGCGGCAUCCUGGACCGGUAUUGACGCUGAGGCGCGAAAGCCAGGGGAGCAAACGGG